rnacentral:lncRNA from 1 species
GCACGGGGGGGGGGGGGGCGGGGGGGGGGCGGUCUGCUGUGUUUAAAGGCUCCCCUGGGCGGCCACGUGGGCCAGGGAGGGCGGCCAGGGCAGGUCCGGAGCUCACCUGCCGGACCUGCCACCUGUGCUCCCUUCACAGGUGAGGCCCGGGCUCAGGGCACCUGGGUGGCCUGCCACGGGGCGCAGCCCGGGAAGGACAGGGCAGGGUCUGGCAGGGCUGCAGCCGCCGAGCCCAGCUCUUCCCGGCCGCCACCCGCCCCUUCCCGGACACACGUUCCCUCCCGGACACACGUCCCCAGCCAGCACAGCGGCGCGCCCCGUCCUCCAGUGCGCUUGCGCAGGAAGAGCUGCGCGGAAGGCGCGGGGCGCAUGCGCGGGAGGCUCCGCUCCCCGGUAAGCAAUCCAGGAUCCGGGGUUUGGGCCCCGCCGGGAGCUCUGUUUAUAAACACACCGCGCGGCCACAGGCGAGGGGUAACCCUAAAGGUAGUGAGGUUGGAGGUCAGAGGCUCUGAACUAUAUAGAAUUUUCAGAUGGAUGAGUUCAGGCUACCAAGGUGGAGUGUCUGAGCGCGGGGUUGGGAACGCUGUUUCCAGCAUGUGGAUCCAAUAGAGGUAAAUAAUCUUCAGAGCAUAGGUCACGGUAGGAUAAUUGGGAAGUAAUGUGUUUUGAGACUUUGUUGUCCAUAGUACUGAUUUCACUGUAAACUUAUAUAAUUUAAUUUUUGAUACUGUUUGUUUAACAGCAAGCCCACAGAAUUUAUCAUUUCGUACUCGUGAGCCAGCUGCAGCUCAGCACUGGUCUUACCUCUAAGGGAAGGUGACAGUGGGUAUGGCGGUUGGUGAUCGAUGUUCACUUCACCUGGGUUCCACUUGGCCAUACCCCAAGGUCACCCCCAAUGAGUCAACAGCCUCCUGGUGAGUGGGGGCCGGGCUGGUCUUGUGCUUUUGACCAACAGAAAUCAGUGAAAGGGGUAGGAUGUCAGUCCCUUGACAAUGUCAUGUUGUACUUGAAGGAUGGUGGACUUCUCGCCCAUCAUGCUCAUGUUCCCGUGAUGACUGGAGACAGCCUCUCCUGCUGGCCUUGCAGGAGCAAACAGCCAAGUUAACUGCCCCUGGAUAGUGCCACGUGGUAGGGGACUGUGGGCAGUCAGCCUCCAGGACCCGAGGGUGGCCUCCAGCCAGAUACCAGGAAGAAGCUAUGGCCCUUGGCCAUGUAGUCACAGGGAAACACAUCUGCCAGCAUCCUGAAUGAGCUUGAAAGUGUAGCACCUCCAGAUGAGAACAGAGCUCAACCUACACCUGGAUUACAGCCACAGGAGACCCUGAGGGGAUGAUAGAGACCCAGCUAAAGCCAAGGGCCAACUCCUGCCCUAUGGAAGCUGAGGUGAGUGCAUUUCUGUUUGUUUGUUUGUUUGUUUUUGUUUUUUU